AGUGAACGCUGGCGGUAGGCCUAACACAUGCAAGUCGAACGGCAGCACAGUAAGAGCUUGCUCUUACGGGUGGCGAGUGGCGGACGGGUGAGGAAUACAUCGGAAUUUACUUUUUCGUGGGGGAUAACGUAGGGAAACUUACGCUAAUACCGCAUACGACCUACGGGUGAAAGCAGGGGAUCUUCGGACCUUGCGCGAUUGAAUGAGCCGAUGUCGGAUUAGCUAGUUGGCGGGGUAAAGGCCCACCAAGGCGACGCUCCGUAGCUGGUCUGAGAGGAUGAUCAGCCACACUGGAACUGAGACACGUUCCAGACUCCGACGGUAGGCAGCAGUGGGGAAUAUUGGACGAUGGGCGCAAGCCUGAUCCAGCCAUACCGCGUGGGUGAAGAAGGCCUUCGGGUUGUAAAGCCCUUUUGUUGGGAAAGAAAAGCAGCAGGUUAAUACCCCGCUGUUCUGACGGUACCCAAAGAAUAAGCACCGGCUAACUUCGUG
rnacentral:rRNA from 1 species